ensembl:lncRNA
CCUUGCCAUCAGGGGAUAAUGUCUCUCUGUGGGAGAGGGGUUUUGGAACAAAGGCAGGGGGAGCUGAAAACCGCAUGAUAUGCUGUGUGUUCCCCCCCUGUGUGUUUACACAUGCUCUGGUGACUGGCUGAGAUAAAGCAUCCCUGUCUCAGGUAAACAGUCUAGCACAGCAGGGUAAAAUGGCAGGGUUGACUUUGGACCUGGCUUAUACUUAGUCAGCACCUCUAGAUAUAAAGUACCAUCCCACCCACCCACAUUUAAUCACACAACUGCACACACAUAAUUUCCAUUUCAGUACAUUUUCAUUAUGGUUCAAAUUCAACAAUUACGAAUUCAAAUCUGCUUUUCGACUCUAUGAACAAUAACUGCCGUACUCAGCACUGUCCCCUUCUUUUCCUCCCUCUUCUCCAGACUGCAUAACCAUAGCAUCUAACCUGAUGGCUAUAUAGCCAGCCCCCAAAAGCAGCCAAGGUCAAUUGCCUUUCCUGCUCCUCUCAUCUUGUGCUUUAUGUACCUUCACAUCCAGGGGAAAAGAGCUGCACUAUUUCUGCUCUGCUGCAAGGUGACUGCUGCUUCAUACGAGUGACAGCUACACAAACCAGGAAUACCAAGAGUACCAAUCAUUUUGUUUAAGGUUUUCAUAUUUUGAAAAUAAAUCCAGAAAGUUUAAUUCAUAUAAAAUUGCAAAAUGUUACAUUUCACGCAAAAAAAAAAAAAAAACACUUCUAGGUCACGGCUUCACUCUGCUGGUAAAUGUUGGACUUGAAUUUCUAAAAAAACAAUUUAAUUAACAGAAGCUAUACAUGGAGCUACCUUUGACUUUGAUAUUAUGGACCAUAACUAACAAUAAUGAGAGUCGAUCAAUACGUUCAACUCCGUAAUUACUCCACCAAGCAGUGACUUUCCACUAUUUUCUGGUUCAAAUCAGCAUUCCACUGCAGACUCCUGAAGCCAUUUUUAUGAACUCAGGUAAUCUUUUAAUGUUAGCAGAAUAACCCCAGCAGUCAGUUUUGUAGACUGUAGUAUAUCAAAACAUUUGUCCACAAGUAG